UGCAGUCGAGGGGCAGCAUAUAGAUUGCUUGCAAUUUAUGAUGGCGACCGGCGCACGGGUGAGUAACGCGUAUCCAACCUACCCAUUACUAGGGAAUAACCCAGCGAAAGUUGGCCUAAUGCCCUAUGUAGUCGUUUGAUCGCCUGAGAUUUCGACGAAAGAUUUAUCGGUAUUGGAUGGGGAUGCGUCUGAUUAGCUUGUUGGCGGGGUAAAGGCCCACCAAGGCAACGAUCAGUAGGGGUUCUGAGAGGAAGGUCCCCCACAUUGGAACUGAGACACGGUCCAAACUCCUACGGGAGGCAGCAGUGAGGAAUAUUGGUCAAUGGGCGAGAGCCUGAACCAGCCAAGUAGCGUGCAGGAUGACGGCCCUAUGGGUUGUAAACUGCUUUUAUAUGGGAAUAAAGUGAGGGACGUGUCCCUUAUUGCAUGUACCAUACGAAUAAGGACCGGCUAAUUCCGUGCCAGCAGCCGCGGUAAUACGGAAGGUCCAGGCGUUAUCCGGAUUUAUUGGGUUUAAAGGGAGCGUAGGCUGUUUGUUAAGCGUGUUGUGAAAUGUAGGAGCUCAACUUUUAGAUUGCAGCGCGAACUGGCAGACUUGAGUGCGCACAACGUAGGCGGANNUNAUGGUGUAGCGGUGAAAUGCUUAGAUAU
rnacentral:rRNA from 1 species